rnacentral:rRNA from 1 species
AGUGAACGCUGGCGGUAGGCCUAACACAUGCAAGUCCAACGGAAGCACAGUAAGAGCUUGCUCUUACGGGUGGCGAGUGGCGGACGGGUGAGGAAUACAUCGGAAUCUACUUUUUCGUGGGGGAUAACGUAGGGAAACUUACGCUAAUACAGCAUACGACCUACGGGUGAAAGCAGGGGAUCUUCGGACCUUGCGGGUUUGAAUGAGCCGAUGUCGGAUUAGUUGGUGGGGGGGGUAAAGGCCAACCAUGGCGACGAUCCGUGGCUGGUCUGAGAGGAUGAUCAGCCACACUGGAACUGGGACACGGUCCAGACUCCUGAGGGAGGCAGCAGUGGGGAAUAUUGGACAAUGGGCGCAAACCUUGUCCAACCAUACCGCGUGGGUUGAGAAGGCCUUCGGGUUGUAAAGCCCUUUUUUUGGGAAAAAAAAGCAGCAGGUUGAUACCCCGCUGUUCUGACGGUACCCAAAGAAUAAGCACCGGCUAACUUCGUG